UGGGGAAUUUUGGACAAUGGGCGCAAGCCUGAUCCAGCAAUGCCGCGUGCAGGAUGAAGGCCUUCGGGUUGUAAACUGCUUUUGUACGGAACGAAAAAGCUCUCUCUAAUACAGGGGGUGAAUGACGGUACCGUAAGAAUAAGCACCGGCUAACUACGUGCCAGCAGCCGCGGUAAUACGUAGGGUGCAAGCGUUAAUCGGAAUUACUGGGCGUAAAGCGUGCGCAGGCGGUUUUGUAAGACAGAGGUGAAAUCCCCGGGCUCAACCUGGGAACUGCCUUUGUGACUGCAAAGCUGGAGUGCGGCAGAGGGGGAUGGAAUUCCGCGUGUAGCAGUGAAAUGCGUAGAUAUGCGGAGGAACACCGAUGGCGAAGGCAAUCCCCUGAGCCUGCACUGACGCUCAUGCACGAAAGCGUGGGGAGCAAACA
rnacentral:rRNA from 1 species